rnacentral:lncRNA from 1 species
AUGGAAGGCCCCAGGAGUUGGGUAGGUUUCCUGGUUGAGAAGCUUGGAGGGGCCUGUUUGCAAAACAUCUGGAGGAUGUGUGUCGCUGUCCAGUCAAGCUGGAAAGCAUCCCACGUGGCUCAUGGGUCGGGGCGUAGCAGCACUGACCACAGGGGAGACACAGGGACACCCAGACUCUGUCCUUGCGGUGACAAGAGAAUUGUCUUCAGGAAAAGAACAAAGCUCACACACACCAGAUUCUUAAUGGGCCAGCAUGGUUCAGGAAGGUGUUGAGUCUUGAUGGACCCAAGAGCCAGGACUCUGGCAGGAGAACGGAAUCCCUGAUGGAUUCAGACAGAGCAGUAGGAUCCUGCUGGGAGUGGGUUUGCCUGGGUACCAAAGCAAACUUUUAACCAAGUAGGUCCCUGGGCCUCUGCUUGACCCCACUGACCCCAUGUGGCAGAAGGUAAGAGCUCAGGCCCUGGAGUCACACUGAUCUGAGUUCAAUUCCUCAUUCUACCACUCACCAUGCUGUAAGACCUUGGACAAGUUACUUCAUCCCUCUGAACCUCAGUUUCUUCAUUUACAAAAUGGGUGUAGCACUAUUUACCUCACAAAAGUGUUGAGGAGUAGUCCAUCUUGAGAAGGCUCUGACAGUUGGGUCAUGGAGAAGACCAGUAACCAGUGAUAACUGUGGCAGGAGGGGUCUGGGUGGGUAGACACUGACGGUUCUGCAUCUAGGAGGCUCUAGAGAGCAGAAUAUUCACUGCAUUCCCUCCAUGCUCCCCCCCUAAACACACAGGCUGGGAUGUCAGAGCUGGAAGGACCUCAGAGACCACUCAAGGUGGUCAACCAGCUUCUCAGAGGCCAGGCCGUGACUGGAGUCAUGCCCUCCUGGCUUGGUAGGACUCAUUCUGCCAAAUACUCCAGUGAUUAGAGCAUGGCCAUCAGCUCUAGAGUCCACCAAGUCUGCAUUCAAAUCCCUAGCUCUACCACUCAGUCACCUUGCCUCUCUAAUCCUGUUCUUUCAUCCCUAAAAUGAGGAUAAUACUGAUCCACACCUUGGAGUUGUGCUGGCCAAUAUGGUGGCCACUUACUAUGUGUAGCAUUUAACUAUAAUUAAAAUUAAAUAAAAUUAAAAUGAAUAAAGUUCA